UACGUAGGGGGCGAGCGUUGUCCGGAUUUAUUGGGCGUAAAGAGCGUGUAGGCGGCCCGGUAAGUCCGCUGUGAAAGUCGGGGGCUCAACCCUCGAAUGCCGGUGGAUACUGUCGGGCUAGAGUGCGGAAGAGGCGAGUGGAAUUCCUGGUGUAGCGGUGAAAUGCGCAGAUAUCAGGAGGAACACCGAUUGCGAAGGCAGCUCGCUGGGACGUAACUGACGCUGAGACGCGAAAGCGUGGGGAGCAAACAGG
rnacentral:rRNA from 1 species